GAUGAACGCUGGCGGCGUGCUUAACACAUGCAAGUCGAACGGAAAGGCCCUGCUCUUGUUGGGUUCUCGAGUGCCGAACGGGUGAGUAACACGUGAGUAACCCGUCCUUGUCUUUGUGAUAUAUCUUCGAAACUGCGGCUAAUAUCCGAUAUGAUCUCUUGCUGCAUGGUGGUCGUUGGUAAGUGUCGGCUGUUGGGGAUGUUCUCGCGGCUUAUCCGCUUGUUGGGCGGGUAGGGGCUUUCCAAGGCUUCGACGGGUAGCCGGCGUGGGAGGGUGGCCGGCGACAUUGGGACUAAGAGAGGCACCAGAAGCCAACGGGAGGCAACAGUGGGGAAUAUUGCGCAGUGGGCGGAAGCCAGAUACGGCAACGCCGGGUGCGGGAUGACGGGCUUCGGGGUAUGAACCACUUUCGACGGAAACGAGGCCUGAGUGACGGUAAUGAGUAAAAAAGCAACGGCUAACUACGUG
rnacentral:rRNA from 1 species